rnacentral:rRNA from 1 species
CCUACGGGAGGCAGCAGUGGGGAAUUUUGGACAAUGGGCGCAAGCCUGAUCCAGCAAUGCCGCGUGAGUGAAGAAGGCCUUCGGGUUGUAAAGCUCUUUUGUCAGGGAAGAAACGGUGGAGGCUAAUAUCCUUUGCUAAUGACGGUACCUGAAGAAUAAGCACCGGCUAACUACGUGCCAGCAGCCGCGGUAAUACGUAGGGUGCAAGCGUUAAUCGGAAUUACUGGGCGUAAAGCGUGCGCAGGCGGCUUUGUAAGUUUGUCGUGAAAUCCCCGGGCUCAACCUGGGAAUGGCGAUGAAGACUGCAAGGCUAGAAUCUGACAGAGGGGGGUAGAAUUCCACGUGUAGCAGUGAAAUGCGUAGAGAUGUGGAGGAACACCGAUGGCGAAGGCAGCCCCCGUGGGUCAAGAUUGACGCUCAUGCACGAAAGCGUGGGGAGCAAACAGGAUUAGAUACCCGUGGUACGUCCACGACCCUAAACGAUGUCUACUAGUUGUUCGGGUUUUAAUUAACGUUGGUAACGCAGCUAACGCGUUGAAGUAGACCGCCUGGAGAGUACGGUCGACGAAGUAUUAAAACGUCGAAAGGAAGUUGACGG